UACGUAAGGGGCAAGCGUUGUCCGGAAUCACUGGGCGUAGAGGGCGCGUAGGCUGUUUGGUAAGUAGAAGGUGAAAGAUUCGGGCUCAACCCGAAAACUGCCUUCUAAACUGCCUUACUUGAGGGUCUGAGGGGAAGCUGGAAUUCACGGUGUAGCGGUGAAAUGCGUAGAUAUCGUGGAGAACACCCGUGGCGAAAGCGGGCUUCUGGCAGACUCCUGACGCUGAGGCGCGAAGGCUAGGGGAGCAAACGGGAUUAGAUACCCCCGUAGUCC
rnacentral:rRNA from 1 species